UCAAGUUAUUAAGGGUGCAGGGCGGAUGCCUUGGCACUAGGAGCCGAUGAAGGACGUGAUAAGCUGCGAUAAGCUUCGGGGAGUUGCACGUAAACUUUGAUCCGAAGAUUUCCGAAUGAGGAAACUCACUUAGAGUAAUGUCUAAGUAUCAUUAAGUGAAUACAUAGCUUAAUGAGGGGAACUCAGGGAACUGAAACAUCUAAGUACCUGAAGGAAGAGAAAGAAAUUCGAUUCCGUAAGUAGCGGCGAGCGAACGCGGAUUAGCCCAAACCAAUAAAGUUUUCUUUAUUGGGGUUGCGGACAUAUCAUAACGGAGAGGUAUCGUAAUUGAAGAGGUUUGGAAAGACCCACCACAGAAGGUAAUAGUCCUGUAUGUUAAACGAGAAGACUUUAGAUAUGAUCCAGAGUACCACGGGACACGUGAAACCCUGUGGGAAGCAGGAGGGACCACCCUCCAAGGCUAAAUACUACCUAGUGACCGAUAGCGUAUAGUACCGUGAGGGAAAGGUGAAAAGAACCCCGGGAGGGGAGUGAAAUAGAACCUGAAACCCUGCACUUACAAGCUGUGGAAGCACAUUUCUUGUGUGACCGCGUACUUUUUGUAGAACGGGCCAACGAGUUACGUUAAGUAGCAAGGUUAAGCACUUAAGGUGCGGAGCCGUAGCGAAAGCGAGUUUUAACUGAGCGUUCAGUUACUUGACGUAGACCCGAAACCGGGCGACCUACCCAUGAGCAGGAUGAAGCGAAAGUAAAAUUUCGUGGAGGUCCGAACCCACGAGCGUUGAAAAGCUCGGGGAUGACUUGUGGGUAGCGGUGAAAUUCCAAUCGAGCCCGGAGAUAGCUGGUUCUCCCCGAAAUAGCUUUAGGGCUAGCCUCAAGGUGAGAGAUACGGAGGUAGAGCACUGAAUGUCCUAGGGGGUAUUGCACCUACCGAAGACUAUCAAACUCCGAAUGCCGUCAUCUUAUACUUGGGAGUCAGACUGUGGGUGAUAAGAUUCAUAGUCGAAAGGGCAACAGCCCAGAUCGUCAGCUAAGGUCCCUAAAUGUAAGUUAAGUGGUAAAGGAUGUGGGAUUGCACAGACAACCAGGAUGUUGGCUUAGAAGCAGCCACUCAUUCAAAGAGUGCGUAAUAGCUCACUGGUCGAGUGAUCCUGCGCCGAAGAUUUCCGGGGCUAAAACUUACUACCGAAGCUACGGCAUCAGUAAUGAUGGGUAGGGGAGCUUCCCAUACGGGUUGAAGCAUGACCGUAAGGACAUGUGGACAGUAUGGGAGUGAGAAUGUUGGCAUGAGUAGCGAGAUGUGGGUGAGAAUCCCACAGGCCGUAAACCCAAGGUUUCCAGGGGAAGGUUCGUCCGCCCUGGGUUAGUCGGGACCUAAGCUGAGGCCGAAAGGCGUAGGUGAUGGACAACAGGUUGAUAUUCCUGUACUACCGAUAAUCGUUUGAGAGAAGGGAUGACACAGUAGGAUAAGCUAAGCACACUGUUGGUUAUGUGUGCCCAAGCAUUGAGGCAGUCAAAGUAGGCAAAUCCGCUUUGAUAAUGCUGGGAUGUGAUGGGGAGCGAAAUUUAGUAGCGAAGUAGCUGAUUUCACACUGUCAAGAAAAGUCUCUAUCGAGGUUAAAGGUACCCGUACCGUAAACCGACACAGGUGGGUGAGGAGAGUAUCCUAAGGCCAGCGAGAGAACUGUUGUUAAGGAACUCGGCAAAAUGACCCCGUAACUUAGGGAUAAGGGGUGCCACCAUCAGGUGGCCGCAGAGAAUAGGCCCAAGCGACUGUUUACCAAAAACAUAGGUUUCUGCUAAGUCGCAAGACGAUGUAUAGGAGCUGACGCCUGCCCGGUGCUGGAAGGUUAAGGGGAUCUGUUAGAGCAAUCGAAGCAGUGAACUUAAGCCCCAGUAAACGGCGGCCGUAACUAUAACGGUCCUAAGGUAGCGAAAUUCCUUGUCGGGUAAGUUCCGACCCGCACGAAAGGCGUAACGAUUUGGGCACUGUCUCAACAACAGACUCGGUGAAAUUGUAAUUCCGGUGAAGAUGCCGGAUACCUGCGACAGGACGGAAAGACCCCAUGGAGCUUUACUGUAGCUUGACAUUGGGUCUUGGUACUACAUGUACAGGAUAGGUGGGAGGCUUUGAAACCAGGACGCCAGUUUUGGCGGAGCCAUCCUUGGGAUACCACCCUUGUAGUACUGGGACUCUAACCAUAGGCCAUGAAUCUGGUCUUGGGACACUGUCAGGUGGGCAGUUUGACUGGGGCGGUCGCCUCCCAAAAGGUAACGGAGGCGCUCAAAGGUUCUCUCAGUACGGUCGGAAAUCGUACGUAGAGUGUAAAGGCAAAAGAGAGCUUGAUUGCAAGACAUACAGGUCGAGCAAGGAUGAAAAUCGGACUUAGUGAUCCGGUGGUUCUGCGUGGAAGGGCCAUCGCUCAACGGAUAAAAGCUACCCUGGGGAUAACAGGCUUAUCUCCCCCAAGAGUCCACAUCGACGGGGAGGUUUGGCACCUCGAUGUCGGCUCAUCACAUCCUGGGGCUGUAGUAGGUCCCAAGGGUUGGGCUGUUCGCCCAUUAAAGUGGUACGCGAGCUGGGUUCAGAACGUCGUGAGACAGUUCGGUCCCUAUCCGUCGCAGGCGUAGGAAAUUUGAGAAGACCUGUCCUUAGUACGAGAGGACCGGGAUGGACGUACCUCUGGUGUACCAGUUGUUCUGCCAAGGGCAUGGCUGGGUAGCUAUGUACGGAAUGGAUAAGCGCUGAAAGCAUCUAAGCGCGAAGCCAACUUCAAGAUAAGAUUUCCCACCGCAAGGGUAAGACCCCAGAAAGACUAUCUGGUUGAUAGGUCGAAGGUGUAAGUGCAGCAAUGUAUUUAGCUUAUCGAUACUAAUAGGUCGAGGACUUGACCAA
rnacentral:rRNA from 1 species